rnacentral:rRNA from 1 species
GAAGAUCGGUUCGAAAAGAAACUUAGUUGCUGGAAGGGCAAACUUCUGUCUUAUGGAGGCCGGUUGAUUCUUAUUAAUUCGGUGCUCACAAGUUUGCCGAUGUUCCUACUAUCUUUCUUUGAGGUUCCAGUUGGGGUUAGGAAAAGGCUGGACUUUUAUCGGUCAAGAUUUUUUUGGCAGAGUGAUGAUCUAAAAAGAAAGUAUAGACUCGCCAAGUGGGAUAUUAUUUGUCGUCCCAAGGAUCAGGGGGGGUUGGGUAUCGAGAAUCUUGAGGUAAAGAACAGAUGCCUGCUUAGUAAGUGGCUAAAUAAGUUAUCAGAUGGGACUGAUGCGACUUGGGCACAGAUACUUCGUAACAAGUAUUUGCAAUCCAAAACUUUG